GGAGCCACCGGGCGUCUGCGCUGCGGUCUCGGCCCCCCUGCGGCUCCUGGCCGUCUCGGCUGCGCCCCCAGGCUGGUUGGCGUGCGGGGCUGGCGGCCGGCGCGGGAGUGCUGGGACGGACCGCGCUCGUCUGAACGUGAGAGGUGUAGACCGUGCCGGGGACUCACCCCGGGAAACUAGCCAGGCAACGCGGAGAUGGACGCAGGAGGGGCGUCGUGGGUUAUAAGAGCAAAGGGUGCGGCGAGCCCCUGCGGUCCUGAGGGAGGCCGGGAGCAGCGGCGGGGCUGCGGCGGGGGACACCCUGGAUUAGAAGCCAACCCCUCGGGAAACCAGGACCAAGCUGCGAAGGCGCUUGGCCAAGCCCAGUGGCAGAGCCCCCACAGCCCUUGCCCUGCACCAUCGGGCCCCUCCCCAGGACUCUCCCCCACCGCAUCACCCCCGCUACACCUCCAUGGAGCAGUACUGACGGAGAGGCCCAUUCCUGCGGCCAGGAAUUUGUUAGUGAAGAAAACGGGAAACUCCUAGAGUGCAGAAUUAGUGUCCCAGAGCCCCCUGCCCACAUUCCUGGGAGUGUGUGCGCGGCAGCCUGUCCCUUUGGGACUUCAUCUCCGAUGAAACGGAAGGCCCCUCCCGGAUGGACCCCAGGCCACACACGUCUUGUCUCCCGCUGCUGCCACCCUCCCAUCCUCCAAGUCUGGUCUCCCCCAUCACUUCCGCACCUGAGUCUCGGCUCGCCCAGGUGGGGGCUCUCCCAGGGCGGGCUCUGCUCACCGAGUGGGACUGCACAUAGUAGGUGUACGAAGCCAGUGAACGUGCACACGAUCCCUAUCAGCCUGGCCCCACAGGGCCUUGUCUGAAUCAUGGCCAACUUCCGUGGAGCUCUGGGCCUGGCGGGGACUGAGGCCACAAGUUCCUUCAUACCUGUGUUUGGGUGGGCAGCGUGUCUGCUGUUGCUUCCAUGGGACUCCAGCGGCUGGGUAUCAGGCGUGAGGUCACCAAGGCCAGCACCUUGUAGAAGGGUCACUCAGUGUCUGUGCCAGCCCCGAGAGAGAGAAAGAGAGAGAGAGGUGUGCUUUGUCCAGGCCCCCCAGCACAUGCACAGGUAUUACAUGUUUAUGUUUGUGGCAGGGGUCUGCACAGCUGGCCUACCUGUCCAGCUAGGCCUGGUCUUCAAGAGAUUCUGUAGGAGUUACUGCUGUGGCACAGUGGGUUAGGAGUCGACUGCAGUGGCUCAGGUCACCCCCAGCCUAUUGCAGUGGGUUAAAGGAGCCGGCCUUGCCGCAGCCGUGGCAUAGAUUUCAAUCCCUAGCCCAGGAACUUCCACAUGCUGCAGCAUGCAGCCAUACCAUUUUCUAAAAAUAAAUUUUAAAAAAGAUUUAUCUCUAACUGGAAGGUAAGAGACAGAGUAGCAGGAGAGUGGCAGAGAGGGGCCUGCCAGAGUCUUAGCCCCGAAAUAAACCCUCGUGUAUACAGUCAAGUGAUUUCUGAUGAGAGUGCCAGGACCAUUUAAGAGAGAAAGGGGAGUUCCUGUCGUGGCACAGCGGAAAUGGAUCCGACUAGGAACCGUGAGGUGGCCGGUUCUAUCCCUGGCCUCGCUCAGUGGGUUAAGGAUCCAGCAUUGCCGUGAGCUGUGGUGUAGGUUGCAGAUGAGGCUGGCAUCCUGUGUGGCUGUGGCUCAGGGCAACAGCUGCAGCUCCAAGUAGACCCCUAGCCUGGGAACCUCCAUGUGUUGAGGGUGUGGCCCUGAAAAGACAAAAAGCCAAAAAAAAAAAAGAGGGUGGUGUUCGCAGCAAGUGUGCUGGAAAGACUGGCUACCACGUGCAAAAGGAUGAAGCAGGCCCCUUCCUUUGUGCCACGUGCAAAAAUCAACACAAAAUGAAUCAAGGACACAAAUGUAAAAAUGAAACUCUUAGAGGAAAAUUUAGGGCACAGCCUUUGCCUUGGCGAUGCUUUCUUGCACAUGAGAUGAAAGACACAAUCAGCAACAACAAAAAAGACAAAGUUUGAAAAAUGUGUGCAUCAAAGACACCAUCAAUAGAGUGAAGAGGCAAAGUCCCCACUGGCACAGCAGGAUUGACGGCAUCUUGGGAGCGCUGGGGCGCAGGUUCCAUCCCCAGCCUGCCACAGCAGGUUAGGCUUGGGCAGCAGCUGCAGCUCAGAACUGAUCCCUGGCCUGGGACUGCAUGUGCCGCAGGACAGCCCAAAAAAAGGCAACCCAAAGAAUGGGAGAAGGUACUUACAUCUGAUAAGGGGUUAAUGUUCAGAGUAUAGAGGGAACGAAAACCGAAGAACAAAAACCUGAAUCAAAAAUGGGCAAAGGACCCCAAGAGACAUUUCACCAGAGAAGAUGUGCCAGCAGCCCACUUGCACGGGAAAGAUGCUCAACAUCCAGAGUGUUGGGGCGCUGCAAACGCAAGCUGCAGGACGCUGCUCACGCCCUUCAGGAAGGCCUCCAUGCGUUUUAGAAAGAGUAGGUGUGGGCGAGGAUGUGGAGAUACUGGAACCCUUGUUGGUUGGAAUGUAGCCAGAACAGCCGCUGUGGGAAACAGCAUGGAUCCUCGAAAAAUUCAGCAUAGAACCACCACUGGAGUUCCAGUCAUGGUUCGAAGGAAACAACCCAACCAGCAUCCAUGAGGAUGCAGGUUCGGUCCCUGGCCUCGCUCAGUGGGUGAAGGAUCCGGCGUUGCCGUGAGCUAUGGUAUAGUUCGCAGACAGGGCUCGGACCCCACAUUGCUGGGGCUCUGGUGUAGGCCGGCAGCUGCAGCUCCAAUUUGACCCCUAGCCUGGGAACCUUCACGUGCCGUGAGUGUGGCCCUAAAAAGAGAAAAAGAAAAGUAAAUAAAUAUAAAGGUAGAACUUCCAUAUGAUCCCGCAGUCCCGCUUCUGGACCAUUUUCCCAGAAGAAGUGAAAGCAGUGUCAUGAAGAGAUCCUGGCACACCUGUGAUGACAGCCUUACAAUCACCAAGACGUGGGAGCAACCCAGGCGUCUCUGGGUGGGUGAGCAGAUGAGCCAGACGCGUGCUCUGGGCACAGCAGGCAGCUGCGGGAGGAAGGAGGCUGGAACACCUGCAUGGGGUGAAGCUUGAGGACGUUGUGAGUGAAACGGGCCGUGUAAUUCCACCACGAGGAGGGACCUAAAGCAGCCCGGUUCAGGUAGAGAGUAGGACGGGGGCUGCGGGGGGCAGGGGCUGGGAGGGAGUUCGUGUUUCAUGGCAUGGAGCUCCGUCUUCACAAGACGAGACGUUUCUAGAGAUGGUGGUGGCAGUGGCUGCACAGCAGCAUGCGUGUAUUUAAUACCCGUGAGCCACACGCCUGAAAGUGGUCAAAGGCGAAAGUUUUAGAUAUAUUUUAUCACAUAAAAAAAAAAAUUGGGGGAGCAGUUUCUCGGGGCUACCUGAGGUGCUGUUGCCUGGACUUAAGUCCUAAUUUCACCCCAAAUAAAACUUAACUC
rnacentral:lncRNA from 1 species